GGGAAUAUUGCACAAUGGGGGAAACCCUGAUGCAGCAACGCCGCGUGAAGGAAGACGGUUUUCGGGUUGUAAACUUCUUUUAUCAGGGACGAAAGCAAUGACGGUACCUGAUGAAUAAGCCACGGCUAACUACGUGCCAGCAGCCGCGGUAAUACGUAGGUGGCAAGCGUUAUCCGGAUUUACUGGGUGUAAAGGGCGUGUAGGCGGGACUGCAAGUCAGAUGUGAAAAUUAUGGGCUCAACCCAUAACCUGCAUUUGAAACUGUAGUUCUUGAGUGAUGGAGAGGCAGGCGGAAUUCCGUGUGUAGCGGUGAAAUGCGUAGAUAUACGGAGGAACACCAGUGGCGAAGGCGGCCUGCUGGACAUUAACUGACGCUGAGGCGCGAAAGCGUGGGGAGCAAACAGG
rnacentral:rRNA from 1 species